AGAGACAGCAGUAGCCGCGGUAAUACGUAGGGUGCGAGCGUUAAUCGGAAUUACUGGGCGUAAAGCGUGCGCAGGCGGUUCGUUAAGACAGAUGUGAAAUCCCCGGGCUUAACCUGGGAACUGCAUUUGUGACUGGCGAGCUAGAGUAUGGCAGAGGGGGGUAGAAUUCCACGUGUAGCAGUGAAAUGCGUAGAGAUGUGGAGGAAUACCGAUGGCGAAAGCAGCCCCCUGGACCAUUACUGACGCUGAUGCACGAAAGCUAGGGGAGCAAACAGGAUUAGAUACCCCAGUAGUCCCUGUCUCUUAUAC
rnacentral:rRNA from 1 species